ACGUAGGACACAAACGUUAUCCGGAAUUACUGGGCGUAAAGAGCGUGUAGGCGGAUGGAUAAGUCAAUCGUGAAAGCUCCCGGCUAAACUGGGAGAGGUCGGUUGAGACUGUCGAUCUAGAGGGUGCUAGAGGGAUGCGGAAUUCCGGGUGUAGUGGUGAAAUGCGUAGAGAUCCGGAGGAACACCAGAGGCGAAGGCGGCAUCCUGGGGCAUUCCUGACGCUGAGACGCGAAAGCAUGGGGAGCGAACGGGA
rnacentral:rRNA from 1 species